rnacentral:rRNA from 1 species
CCUACGGGAGGCAGCAGUGAGGAAUAUUGGUCAAUGGGCGCGAGCCUGAACCAGCCAAGUCGCGUGAGGGAAGACGGUCCUAUGGAUUGUAAACCUCUUUUGUCGGGGAGCAAAAGACGCCACGCGUGGCGUUCCGAGAGUACCCGAAGAAAAAGCAUCGGCUAACUCCGUGCCAGCAGCCGCGGUAAUACGGAGGAUGCGAGCGUUAUCCGGAUUUAUUGGGUUUAAAGGGUGCGCAGGCGGAAGAUCAAGGCAGCGGUAAAAUUGAGAGGCUCAACCUCUUCGAGCCGUUGAAACUGGUUUGCUUGAGUGAGUGAGGAGUAUGCGGAAUGCGUGGUGUAGCGGUGAAAUGCAUAGAUAUCACGCAGAACUCCGAUUGCGAAGGCAGCAUACCGGCGCUCAACUGACGCUCAUGCACGAAAGUGUGGGUAUCGAACAGGAUUAGAUACCCGGGUAGUC